UCUCAAAGUGCUGGGAUUACAGGCAUGAACCACCACGCCCGGCUGAGACCGUCUUCACAAAAAAUUUUUUUCAGUUAACUAGGUAAUUUAUUUAUUUAUUUAUUUAUUUUAUUUUUUGUUUUGGAGACAGGGUCCCGCUCUGUCACCCAGGCUGGAGUGCAGUGGGGCAAUCUCGACCCACUGCAACCUCUGCCUCCCAAGUUCAAGCAAUUCUUGUGUCUCAGCCUCUCUAGCAGCUGAGAUUACAGGCAUGUGCCACCAUGCCCAGCUAAUUUUUGUAUUUUCAGUAGAGACGGGGUUGGCCAGGCUGGUCUUGAACUCCUGACCUCAAGUGAUCCACCCGCCUCAGCCUCCCAAAGUGUUGGGAUUACAGGUGUGAGCCACUGUGCCCGGCCAUAGCCAGGUAAUUUAAUAGCAAGGUGGCACACACCUAUAGUCCCACCUACUCAGGAGGCUGAGUGGAGGAUUGCUUGAGCCCAGGAUUUGAGCCUGCAGAGAGCCAUGAUUGCACCACUGCACUGCAGCCUGGGUAACAGAGUGAGACCCUGCUCUCAAAAAAUAAAAAUUAAAAAAUUAAAAAAUAAAUAAUAAAAACCAAAGAUAGCCAUGGUGACAAUGUCUUGUGGUUUAUAAAAUGCUGAUUCAUGUCCACUGUCACCUUUGAUCUUAACCUCUUCCCAUGAGUCAGCAGGGGAGGCCCUGUUCUCAUCCCCGUUUUAUAGGAGAGAAAAUUGCGGGUCACGUUGCCUGGUGCACAGUGACCGUUCCGCACACGGUGGGUCUUCUUGUUCCUUUGAAUAGUGCUUUCUUAGUAUUAUGCUACUACUAACAAUUUUUAAAAAAAAAUUGGAGGAAUGAGAUGUGGGAACGCAGAAGAAGUCCACGUGGAGGACUCAGGAGAGCAGCAGCUGCUGGACUUGGCGUUGACCUUGAGGUAUCUCUUCCCUUCUCCGAUGCCUGUUUUCCUGGUAUAGAAUGAGGAAGUUGAACAAGAUGGUCCUCUCUCCCCAUCCCCAUUCUGGGAUCUUCUGCUUUGUGUCCCUGGGGUUGGGAGGGGCCAGGGUCCCCGGCCAUCGGCCAGCGAGGUCAGAAGCAGCUCCUAGCUGGUGGGCAGUGUGCCUCUCCUGGGCCCUCUGCCGGCAUCUCCCAGCUCCCUUCCUGAGCCUGCCUCUGAGAUGAGACCUGGCAUAAAGAUGGGGACAGCAUCAAGGACCCGGACAGCAUCAAGGACCCUCAGUCUUUGCUGAGGAUGAGCUGCAGAGACAGGUGAUAAGCGACCUCAGGCCCUCCACAGGCUGCGGUUUCCAGAGGCACUGGGGGAUGUGAGGUGGAAGCAGAGGCCUGCCUUCCUGUGCCCUGGGGCUUGGCAUGUCAGCCCUCUGAGCCUCAGUGUCCUCAUCUCUAAAACAAGAGUGAUAGCACAAAUAAACACCCUUCUCAUAGGACUGCCAUGUCAAUUACACACAUUUAUACACAUAAGCACUUAGAAUAUAGCCUUUCUUUCCUUUUUCCUCUCCCUCUCCUUUCCUUCCUUUCUUUGUUGUUUUUGUUUUUGUUGUUGUUGUUUUUGAGACAGCUUCUGGCUCUGUCACCCAGGCUGGAGUGCAGUGGCAUGAUCUCAGCUCACUGAAACCUCCGCGUCUCACGUUCAAGCGAUUCUCAUGCCUCAUCCUCUCGAAUAGCUGAGAUUAUAGGCACGUGCCACCACACUCGGCUAAUUUUUAUAUUUUUAGUAGAGAUGGGGUUUCACCAUGUUGACCAGGCUGGUCUCAAACUCCUGACCUCAAGUGAUCCACCCACCUCGGCCUCCCAAAGUGCUGGAAUGACAGGCGUGAGCCACCAUGCCUGGACUAGAGUACAUCCUUUCUCAGUAAGCAUGCAGUUAAUGCUACAGAGAGUACAGUUAUUGAUUACCAGUUAUUAGAAAUAUUAUUAUUAAUAACAUUAUGAAAGGUUACCAGACAUUUACAAAUGACUGAAAAAGAAAGAAGCGUAUUUGAAUUUCAAGAAACAAUAGUGCGCCGGGCACGGUGGCUCAGGUCUGCAAUUCCAACACUUAGGGAGGCUGAGUCAGGAGGAUCGCUUGUGUUCAAGACCUGCCUGGGUAACAUGGCAAGACCCCAUGAGGGGUCAUGAGAGUGAGGCCAGGUGUGGUGGUUCACACCUGUAAUCCCGGCACUUUGGGAGGCCAAGGUGGAAGGAAGAUUUGAGCCCAAGAGUUUGAGACCAGCCUGGGCAACAUGGCAAAACCCUGUCUCUACAAAAAAUACAAAAAUUAGCCAGUCAUGAUGGAGUGCACCUGUAGUCUCACCACGGCUACUCAGGAGGCUGAGGUGGGAGGAUUGCUUGAGCCUGGGUGGUUGAGGCUGCAGUGAGCUGUGACCACACAACUGCACUCCAGCCUGGGCGACAGAGCAAGACCCUGUCGGAAGAAAGAAAAGAAAAGGAAAGAGAGACAGGGAGGGAGUGGGGGAGGAAGGGAGAGAGGGAAGGAGGGAAGGAGAGGGUGAUGAGAGAGAGAAGGAAGGAAAGAAGGAAGGAAGAAAGGAAGGGAGGGGAGAGAGAGAAACAGUAGUUUUGUUGGAAGACCAAGGGCUAGGAGCCUGCUUCUGUCUCCCUGGGGGUCUGUGGUUCCCAGUCUGGCCAUCAUAACCUGCCCCUUCCCUUCCUUAAUUUAUCCCCUCAGUCCCACAUGGGCUGGUCAGUAAUGUUAGAUAUGGAAAUUCCCAGAGUUUCAAAAGACCUCAAAGUGUCUUCAGCCACUUCUUCUCCUGAGGCAUGGCUCUGUACUCCUAGACACACCACUCUCUAUCCCUGCCUGUCCUUGACUACCUCCCCAGGUGGGGCACUCACUACCUACACAGCUGCCCUGACUAUUGGAUAGUUCAUCUUGAGGCAAAACCUACCUCCCUUGGUAGCCUUCCGUGGUUCUGCCUUCUGGGUCCUCCCAGAACAAGUCCACACCCUCUGCCUCAGGCAGGUCCUCCAGCCUCAGAAGCAGUGGCCACUAAAUCAAUUUCUCUCCACCUGAAACCUCCCCUGUGCCUUGCCCAUCCUGGAGCAGGAAAGAGGCUACGUUUGCACAGAGCACCGGACCCGGGGAAGCGUGAUAACACAGCCCUACAGAGAAGCCCAGGGAGCCACGCUGGCCUGCAGCACUGGCCACCAGCUGUGGAGCUUUCUUGCUGCCUAGCACAGAACUGCAGGCAGAGAAAAAGGCAAAGAUUUGCCUGAAGCAAAUACAUCAAAUCCUUCCGCAAACACACAUUCCCCUGAACACCGACUCCAAAGAUACGGAGGAGAAGAGGCCUACUUGAUUAGAUUUCUUUGGGGCCUGUCGCCUAAUUUUGUUGCGCGUCUUAGCAUGAGGUCCCUGUAGUGACUCUGUAGCGUGUUUAAUUUCUCAAAGCCGCUCACAGGCUGGUGUGUAAACUCUCAUCUCCGGAUGUUACUGAAGGACCCUUGCGAGUUACAGCCCUCGGAUCAGUGGCCUUGUGGGCAGUGGAAGGAAGGAGUUAAGGGUGUGAGUUCAGCUCCCAUCCCAGCCUCCUCAUUCCCCAGCACCGUAUCCCUUCCACAAAGCCACUUUGCUUCUCCAGGCCUCAGAUUCCAUCUGUAAAAUGGGGACAAUAAUUCUCCCUACUUCUCAGAGCUUUUGCGAGUAUCCUAUGAGGUCAAUUCUCUAAGGCCUCAGACCCAGUCCCGGGCAGGCAGUAGGUCUUUGAUACAUGAAAUAAUUUUUGUUGCUGUUUUUGAGUCUUGCUCUGUCACCCAGGCUGGGGUGCAGUGGCACGACCUUGGCUCACUGCAACCUCCACCUCCCGGGUUCAAGCGAUUCUCAUGCCUCAGCCUCCUGAGUAGCUGGGAUUACAGGCGCCCACCACCACACCCAGCUAAUUUUUGUGUUUUUAGUAGAGACGGGGUUUUGCCAUGUUGGCCAGACUAGUCUUGAACUCCUGACCUCAAGUGACACACCCACCUCAGCCUCCCAAAGUGCUGGAAUUACAGGCAUGACCCACUGUGCCUGGCCUGAUAAGUGAAAUAAUUUGAUCUCAGCCAGAAGAGCCUGGGGAACUGGUGAAAUCGGUCGGAUUUAGGGGAGAUAACUCCCCCUGGUGAGAAGGCCUUGGUCUAGACACAACCAUUUGGUCCUUUCUGGCCGUAGGUCCGUGGUCUCGAACUUUACUAUGGUUAAGAUGCACCCAAAAGAGCUUGUAAAAUGCCAAGUCCCCGGCCCUGUGCACAGAGAGUCUGAUUCAGUAGAAUCUGAGGGGGGCCCGGGAAUCCGCAGUUUAACAACAUCCUGUUCCACGAGGUUGGGAAUAGAUGUUACUGCUACAGUCACUCUGUCGGCUGUAUGUCUGUACUGCGUCAAGAGCGGGGAAUACUGAGCCAAAUAAAACAGAUCCAGCCCCGAACACCAGGGAGCCCACCGGGGAACAGG
rnacentral:lncRNA from 10 species